AAUAAGGUGCCUGACAAAAGGAUUACUUUGAUAGAGUAAAUUAUAUAAGUUAAUCUUAUCCUUAUUA
rnacentral:tRNA from 1 species